GGACGAACGCUGGCGGCGUGCCUAAUACAUGCAAGUCGAACGGUCUUUCUAUGGAAGCUUGCUUCCACUGAGAAGAUAGUGGCGAACGGGUGAGUAACACGUGGGGUAACCUGCCCAUAAGAGGGGGGAUAACAUCCGGAAACGGGUGCUAAUACCGCAUAGUUUUCUUGAUCGCAUGAUCGGGAAAGGAAAGACGGCCUUUGUGCUGUCGCUUAUGGAUGGACCCGCGGCGUAUUAGUUAGUUGGUGAGGUAACGGCUCACCAAGACGAUGAUACGUAGCCGACCUGAGAGGGUGAUCGGCCACAUUGGGACUGAGACACGGCCCAAACUCCUACGGGAGGCAGCAGUAGGGAAUCUUCCGCAAUGGACGAAAGUCUGACGGAGCAACGCCGCGUGAGUGAAGAAAAGGUUUUCGGAUCGUAAAACUCUGUUGUCAGAGAAGAACAAGUUGGAGAGUAACUGCUCCAGCCUUGACGGUAUCUGACCAGAAAGCCACGGCUAACUACGUGCCAGCCGCUGC
rnacentral:rRNA from 1 species